GGAAAAUACUAUGAUUAAGCAAUCGCCAAUACUAGUUAGCUAACUAUACAUAAAAUAUGCACGAACAAAGUCAAUGCAUGAGUAUGAAAACAAUCAUCUAAACAACUAAUUCUCCAUUAUUAUACCGUAUUUAGUCAUGCUUAGAAUGACCUAUACUAGGACUAUGACCCGGGGUCGUUGAUCGAAAAUAAUUCACAUGUACUUCAAUGAAUCUAAAUUCAGGCCUCUGUAACUUUGUAGGGCUUGCUCUUGUUGCUUGUUUUGCACCACAACUAACAAAAUUCGCACACUUCAAUCUUUUUCCCCUUGAAAAAUUUCCUCCCCGAAUGCAAAAAACUUCAUUUGGAACAAUGAUAAGUAGAAAAAGCAAACACGUAAAAAUUUUGGCCAUAGCUCUAGUUUUUGUUUUCUUAAUUUUAUAAAGAAAGAAAAAUUAGAAGAUGUAGUGACUAAACGAGAGAGGAAAUUUAAG
rnacentral:lncRNA from 1 species